rnacentral:snRNA from 1 species
AGAAUCUCCUGCUCGCUAAAAUUUGAACCAUAAAGAGAAGAUUAGCAUGGCCCCUGCCGCACGGAUGACAAGCAAAUUCAUGAAAUGUUCCGAAUUUUU